UCCAGGGAAUGAACUAGAAUAAUUGAGUUCUGCUGCAUUUUCAAGGAGUUAUCACUGUUUCGGUGAUGCAUGUUUCCGCAUUUUUUGUGUUUGGUAGGACAAAUUCUGAUAAUAGUUGUUCUAUAUGCAGUAAGGCAAUGAUUCUAGUUCAUUCCCUAGACACUAUUGUAACUAACAAAAUAAAAGUUAUUUUAGACUUCUAUCAUUAAUUCUCACCUAGUUAUCAUGUUUGAAAAUUGACCCAUUUUUUCCCUUCGGGCGUGGCAUAUAUUGGUUACUAUGGUAACAGUACACUAAAGAAGUAUAUUUUCAUGGUUG